AACGAACGCUGGCGGCAGGCCUAACACAUGCAAGUCGAGCGAGGACUUCGGUCCUAGCGGCGGACGGGUGAGUAACGCGUGGGAACGUGCCCUUUGGUACGGAAUAGCCCCGGGAAACUGGGAGUAAUACCGUAUGGUGUCUUCGGACUAAAGAUUUAUCGCCAAAGGAUCGGCCCGCGUUGGAUUAGGUAGUUGGUGGGGUAAUGGCCUACCAAGCCGACGAUCCAUAGCUGGUUUGAGAGGAUGAUCAGCCACACUGGGACUGAGACACGGCCCAGACUCCUACGGGAGGCAGCAGUGGGGAAUCUUAGACAAUGGGGGCAACCCUGAUCUAGCCAUGCCGCGCGAGUGAUGAAGGCCCUAGGGUUGUAAAGCUCUUUCAGCUGGGAAGAUAAUGACGGUACCAGCAGAAGAAGCCCCGGCUAACUCCGUGCCAGCAGCCGCGGU
rnacentral:rRNA from 1 species